rnacentral:rRNA from 1 species
GAAACUGCGAAUGGCUCAUUAAAUCAGUUAUCGUUUAUUUGAUAGUACCUUACUACUUGGAUAACCGUGGUAAUUCUAGAGCUAAUACAUGCUAAAAACCCCGACUUCGGAAGGGGUGUAUUUAUUAGAUUAAAAACCAAUGCCUUCGGGGCUCCUUGGUGAUUCAUGAUAACUUAUCGGAUCGCAUGGCCUUGUGCCGGCGAUGGAUUCUUCAAAUUUCUGCCCUAUCAACUUUCGAUGGUAGGAUAGUGGCCUACCAUGGUUUCAACGGGUAACGGGGAAUUAGGGUUCUAUUCCGGAGAGGGAGCCUGAGAAACGGCUACUACAUCCAAGGAAGGCAGCAGGCGCGCAAAUUACCCAAUCCCGACACGGGGAGGUAGUGACAAUAAAUACUGAUAUAGGGCUCUUUUGAGUCUUGUAAUUGGAAUGAGUACAAUUUAAAUCCCUUAACGAGGNNNNNNNNNNNNNNNNNNNNNNNNNNNNNNNNNGCGGUAAUUCCAGCUCAGCUAGCGUAUAUUAAAGUUGUUGCAGUUAAAAAGCUCGUAGUUGAACCUUGGGCCUAGCUGGCCGGUCCGCCUCACCGCGAGAACUGGUCCGGCUGGGCCUUUCCCCCUGGGGAGCCGCAUGCCCUUCACUGGGUGUGUCGGGGAACCAGGACUUUUACUUUGAAAAAAUUAGAGUGUUCAAAGCAGGCCUAUGCUCGAAUACAUUAGCAUGGAAUAAUAGAAUAGGACGUGUGGUUCUAUUUUGUUGGUUUCUAGGACCGCCGUAAUGAUUAAUAGGGAUAGUCGGGGGCAUCAGUAUUCAAUUGUCAGAGGUGAAAUUCUUGGAUUUAUUGAAGACUAACUACUGCGAAAGCAUUUGCCAAGGAUGUUUUCAUUAAUCAGUGAACGAAAGUUAGGGGAUCGAAGACGAUCAGAUACCGUCGUAGUCUUAACCAUAAACUAUGCCGACUAGGGAUCGGGCGAUGUUAUCUUUUUGACUCGCUCGGCACCUUACGAGAAAUCAAAGUCUUUGGGUUC